UGGGUGCUAAGGUUGCAGAAGGUAC
rnacentral:piRNA from 1 species